rnacentral:tRNA from 1 species
GAGGUUGUGGCUCAGCGGUAGAGCGCUCACCGAGCAUGUGAGAGGCCAUGGGUUCGAUCCUCAUCACCACA